GCCUUGGAAAGAUGCCAAGACCCUCUCCAACCCUCAAGGCACCCAUAGGUCCGUGGGCACUGCAGAGCUUGCUUCAGAGCCUCAGGAUGGCCCACGUGCCCAGUCUCGUCUGAGGGUGGGGGUGCAGUGACGACAGAUGGGCGUGACUGCUACCAGAUUCCUGAGGCCCGCCCUGCAGUGGGACUACGCCCAGCCAGGGAGUCUCCAGAGCACCUCAGUGACUUAGAAGAAAGCCRGUUCAGGUCUGGAACUGAACACAAAAGAGAAGCGGGAAGGGUGGGCUGGCCCAGCCCAGAGUGCUUCAUUCCUGGGGGAUUUCCAGCUCUGGGGUGGGACUGCAGAGAGAGCACUGGACGAAAAUCGGGAGGUAGGUCUCUCUCUUA
rnacentral:lncRNA from 1 species